rnacentral:misc_RNA from 1 species
GACGGCUACCGUCGAAGGGUCACGCGAAAGCGUCUUUGAACCCCGAGGAAACACGGAAGCUUAAACUCCACUUCGUGGAAUCCUCGCCCUGUAGGGCGGGGAGGAUGUCAAUAAUCAUCAAUUA